ensembl:lncRNA novel transcript
UUCCCACUGUACUGCCCUGGCCCUGGGCUCACCUGAGAUUGCUGGGGAAAAGAAAGGGUCAACCGGGAGGUUUAGACACGUGGAGAAGGAGUGUGCCUGGCUCUACCAGUUGGAACUGGGAUCAGAAGUGGAGCUGAGGAGGCUGGUCCAGGGAGAAUGCAGUGCUAAGAGGUCAGACCUAUACCCCACUUGGGAGGUGACCUCACAUGUCUGCCACCUUGCAAGCCCCUGCUCAGAGAUAUUACAUUACUGAGGCACACUAGGCUAAGGCUGACAACACCAAAUGCUGGCAGGAAUGUGGAGCAACAGGAACAGGAAUUCGUGGCUGAUGGGAAUGCAAAAUGGUACAGCUACUUUGGAAGAAAGUGUGGCAGUUUCCUAAAAAACUAAACAUACUCUUACCAUACGAUCCAGGAAUCAUGCUCCUUGGUAUCUACCCAAAGGAGAUGAAAACUUACGUCCACAUGAAAAUCUGCCGAUGGAUGUUUAUAGCAGCUGUAUUCAUCAUGGCCAAAUCUUGAAAGCAACCGAGAUGUCCUUCAGUAGGUAAAUAGAUAAAUAAACCAUGGCCAUCCUGAAAUGGAAUAUUAUUCAGUGCCAAAAAGAAAUGAACUACAAAGCCAUGAAAAGACAUGGAGGAACCUUAAAUUUACAUUACUAAGUGAAAGAAGCCAAUUUGAAAUGGCUACAUAUUGUACAAUUCCAACGACAUGACAUUCUGGAAAAGGAAAAUUAUGGAAACAGGAAAAAGAGCAGUUGUUGCCAGGGGUUAGGGAAGGGGGAUUGACUAGGCAGAGCAUAGAGGACUUUUACAGCAAUGAGACUAUAAUGGUGGAUACACAUCAUUAUAUAUUUGUCCAAACCCACAGAGUGUACAACACCAAAAGUGAACCCUAAUGUCAGCUAUGGACUUUGGGCGAUUAUGAUGUCAAUGUAGCUUCAUCACUUGUAACAAAUGUGCCAUUCUGGUGGAUGUGUGGGGACAGGGGGCAUACGGAAAAUCUCUAUAACUUUCCUCUCAGUUUUGCUCUGAAUCUAAAACUACCCUUUAAGAAGUCUUCUUUUAAAACAAUUUACAAAGCAUGAGGUGAUACAGAUGUGGGAGUUUGGCUCCUGUCUCUGCCCAACUCUGUGACAUUCGAUAAAUUACUUAACAUGUCUCUGUUUCAGUUUCCUCAUCUAUAACUGGGAAAAAUAACACCUGUCUUAUAGAGUUGCCAUGGGGAUGACAUGAGGCAUGUGUCUCGUUCAUAUCCCAUGCUCAGUGAAUUAGUAGCAGCAGCCACUGUGUGUUUGUGUGUCUUUAUCCCUCCUGGGUUAAUGAGCUCCUUGUGGGCAGGGACUCACCCAUUCUGUAACCACCCCAUCUAACACACUGCCUGGCACUUGGGCUCCGCAGAAGUUUGCCGAGUGAAUACUUAGUA